rnacentral:lncRNA from 1 species
AUGUUAAAUCGCUUGAAACUGACAUUUGGUGUCAAACGUUCAGACAGCUCACCUGACACACUACCAAAAAAGAACAAGAGUUCCACUCAGCAGCCCUCAGAUACUGAGACUUUUGAAAGUCCCAAGACAAAGGAGAAAACAUGCUCUGAGAGCCACCCGGCACCCUCUAACUCCUCUUUAACAACUGAUAAAACCUCUUUAGGUUCCUUGUCACUACUAACACUAAAGAAAUCUGAGAAUACAUUAAAUAUGAGUGGACAAAAUAGGUCUAAGGCUGAAAUAAAUUAUUCUGGGUCCCCACAGGAGGGGCCCAACCCGACCUUGACCAUCGAUAAAGCAUCUUUUGCCUCUUUUGGGUCUUUGUCGCCACUUACAUCAGAGAAAUCUGAGAGUACUUUAAAUAUGAAUUGGCAAAAUAGAUCUACAACUGAACAAAAGGGCUCUGGGUGCACAUGGGAGGCCCCCAACUCAUCUUUGCCCACCGAUAAAGCCUCUUUUGCUGCUUCUGGGUCUUUGUCACCACUUACAUUUAGGAAAUCUGAGAAUACUUUAAAUAUGGACUGGCAAAACAGAUCUACAACUGAACAAAGUGGUUCUGGGUGCACAUGGGAGGCACCCAACUCAUCUUUGACCACGGAUAAAGCCUCUUUUGGGUCCUUGUCACCCUUAACAUUAAAGAGGCAUAGCGAUGUAAAUGGAAAUCGGUCUUAUGGUAGGAGCUUUAGUCCACACAGGCAAAAGGCCCAAAGUAUGAAUCGUUCUGCCACCUUGCCACAUUACAAAAAAUCCUCUAUCGGUCCCCCAUCGCCCUUUUAUUUGUUUGAUUUUGAUUCAGAAGACAUUCAGAAUGACAAUGUGUUUUAUAGUCCAUUGAACAAAAAAACAAAUUCACUUUGUGAGUCUGAUGACUUCUCUCCUCAGAGCGCCACCAAGAGUCCUGUGCACCAAAACCUUGUGAGGUCUCACUUGUCCUCAUCAUGUGCUGAUUUAAAGUAUGGUCUACACAGUGGACGAUCUUUCUCAGUAAGCAGUGUGGUUUCAAGCCGCCCAUCAGGUCCUGGACGAAUCUCAACAAGCAGCAUCAGCGACCUCUCAAGUUUGGAAGAAUUUCUGCCGAAGGAGAAUUAUACAAUAGUUGACUCUCCAAUGAGUAGUAGCCAUUCCCCAAUCUAUGAUGCAAAAUCUAUCACUGGUAAACAGUCUCAAUAUGGAUAUACAGAUAAUCUUGAUCUUGAUCAUGAUGAUGCAGACCCAACCCCACCUCCAUCACCAACUAUGUCCUCUUCACCUCGUCGGAUAUCCCAGGCUCCUUCUGUGUCUUCCCCCAUAUGGACAACUCCAGAAAAUCUGUCUCCUCCUCGUGGAAUCCUGUCAUCAAGGAGCUACAAAACUAGCAUGACUGUUUUUGAGGAGUCUGAUUCUGACACCACAACCGAUGAUGAAUACUAUCUUGAUAAUGGUGAUGCGGCAGAAACAGAACUUUAG